GAAGCUAUUAGGUUCAUACCCUAUCCAUGAAAUAAACAUUUCCCUUUU
rnacentral:tRNA from 1 species